GCCCUGCAAAUAAAAAAAAAAACACAACAACACAUGGCCCAUGGGAAAUGAAUUCUGGAAUGCCUACGCACCAGCAGCACACGGAUCCAGUACCUUGGAUUUGGCUUGGGCUGCACCACACCUCGCACGUCCAACAUCUUCAGAAUCCACGGUGCAGCAGUGGAAGAUCCAUCCAGCCAGCAACUUGGAGAAAGUAGGAGGUGCAAGCAGCAACCCAACAUGAGGAACAUGCAACAGCCACUUGCAAAGAAGGAACUUCCACGUCGGCAGCAUCUGGGCCCAGAGGAGAGGCAUAGCAUAAACACAAAACCCUAGGAAUAUACCUAGGAACGGCGGUCACGGGGAG
rnacentral:lncRNA from 1 species